ACGAACGCUGGCGGCGUGCUUAACACAUGCAAGUCGAACGGAAAGGCCUGCUUUCCCUUGUGGAUUGCGGGUACUCGAGUGGCGAACGGGCGAGUAACACGUGAGUGAUCUGCCCCCAACUUGGGUAUAAGCCUGGGAAACUGGGUCUAAUUCCCGAUAGGACUGCAGGGUGGUGCCUGUGGUGGAAAACGAUUUUCUAGUGGUUGGGGAUGAGCUCGCGGCCUAUCAGCUUGUUGGUGGGGUAAUGGCCUACCAAGGCGGCGACGGGUAGCCGGCCUGAGAGGGUGGACGGCCACAUUGGGACUGAGAUACGGCCCAGACUCCUACGGGAGGCAGCAGUGGGGAAUAUUGCACAAUGGGCGGAAGCCUGAUGCAGCGACGCCGCGUGGGGGAUGACGGCCUUCGGGUUGUAAACUCCUUUCGACCGCGAGGAAGCCACCUGGUUGGAAGGGUGGUGACGGUAGUGGUAGAAGAAGCACCGGCUAACUACGUG
rnacentral:rRNA from 1 species